rnacentral:rRNA from 1 species
CAGCCGCCGCGGUAAUACGAAGGGGGCUAGCGUUGCUCGGAAUUACUGGGCGUAAAGGGAGCGUAGGCGGAUCGUUUAGUCAGGGGUGAAAUCCCGGGGCUCAACCUCGGAACUGCCUUUGAUACUGGCGAUCUUGAGUAUGGGAGAGGUGUGUGGAACUCCGAGUGUAGAGGUGAAAUUCGUAGAUAUUCGGAAGAACACCAGUGGCGAAAGCGACUCACUGGCCCAUUACUGACGCUGAGGCUCGAAAGCGUGGGGAGCAAACAGGAUUAGAUACCCGUGUAGUCCCUGUCUCUUAUAA